GAUGAACGCUGGCGGCGUGCCUAAUACAUGCAAGUCGAGCGAACGGACGAGAAGCUUGCUUCUCUGAUAUUAGCGGCGGACGGGUGAGUAACACGUGGAUAACCUACCUAUAAGACUGGGAUAACUUCGGGAAACCGUAGCUAAUACCGGAUAAUAUUUUGAACCGCAUGGUUCAAAAGUGAAAGACGGUCUUGCUGUCGCUUAUAGAUGGAUCCGCGCUGCAUUAGCUAGUUGGUAAGGUAACGGCUUACCAAGGCAACGAUGCAUAGCCGACCUGAGAGGGUGAUCGGCCACACUGGAACUGAGACACGGUCCAGACUCCUACGGGAGGCAGCAGUAGGGAAUCUUCCGCAAUGGGCGAAAGCCUGACGGAGCAACGCCGCGUGAGUGAUGAAGGUCUUCGGAUCGUAAAACUCUGUUAUUAGGGAAGAACAUAUGUGUAAGUAACUGUGCACAUCUUGACGGUACCUAAUCAGAAAGCCACGGCUAACUACGUG
rnacentral:rRNA from 1 species